UACGUAGGGCGCGAGCGUUGUCCGGAAUUAUUGGGCGUAAAGAGCUCGUAGGCGGCCUGUUGCGUCGGCUGUGAAAACCCGGGGCUCAACCCCGGGCCUGCAGUCGAUACGGGCAGACUAGAGUGUGGUAGGGGAGGACUGGAAUUCCUGGUGUAGCGGUGAAAUGCGCAGAUAUCAGGAGGAACACCGGUGGCGAAGGCGGGUCUCUGGGCCAUAACUGACGCUGAGGAGCGAAAGCGUGGGGAGCGAACAGG
rnacentral:rRNA from 1 species